UGAGCAAUCUGCCCUUCUCAUCGGAAUAAGCGUUGGAAACGACGUCUAAUGCCGAAUACGACCUCCUUUCGCAUGAUCGGAGGUGGAAAGCUCCGGCGGAGAAGGAUGAGCUCGCGGCCUAUCAGCUAGUUGGUGUGGGUAAUGCCCACCAAGGCGACGACGGGUAGCCGACCUGAGAGGGUGACCCGGCCACACUGGGACUGACGACGCCGCACGACCUCCGGUACGGGGAGACGACGG
rnacentral:rRNA from 1 species